CCUACGGGAGGCAGCAGUGGGGAAUAUUGCACAAUGGGGGAAACCCUGAUGCAGCGACGCCGCGUGAGUGAAGAAGUAUUUCGGUAUGUAAAGCUCUAUCAGCAGGGAAGAAAAUGACGGUUCCUGAUUAAGAAGCCCCGGCUAACUACGUGCCAGCAGCCGCGGGAAUACGUAGGGGGCAAUCGUUAUCCGGAUUUACUGGGAGUAAAGGGAGCGUAGACGGCAGAGCAAGUCUGGAGUGAAAGGCCGGGGCUUAACCCCGGGACUGCUUUGGAAACUGUGCAGCUAGAGUGCAGGAGAGGUAAGUGGAAUUCCUAGUGUAGCGGUGAAAUGCGUAGAUAUUAGGAGGAACACCAGUGGCGAAGGCAGCUUACUGGACUGUAACUGACGUUGAGGCUCGAAAGCGUGGGGAGCAAACAGGAUUAGAUACCCCAGUAGUC
rnacentral:rRNA from 1 species